AAUCUUUUUUUUUAAAAGGGAUGCUAUAUUUGUCAAAUGCUUUUUCUGUCAGUUGUCCAUUGAGAAGACCAUAUGGUUGUUGUCUCUUCUCUUAGUACUGUGUUCUAUCACACUCACUGUUUUGUGAAUGUUGACCCACCUUUGCAUCCCAGGGAUAAAUCCCACCUGGUCGUGGUGGAUAAUCCUUCCAAUGUACUGU